GACGAAGAUGAAGAGAGCUUCUAUAUUCUGACACCUCUUGUAUGAGGCGAUUCUUCACAGUUUCGUCAAUGAGCACAUGAAGCAACUCUCUGAGUC